UCGGGAAUUUUGGGCAAUGGGCGAAAGCCUGACCCAGCAACGCCGCGUGAAGGAUGAAGUAUUUCGGUAUGUAAACUUCGAAAGAAUAGGAAGAAUAAAUGACGGUACUAUUUAUAAGGUCCGGCUAACUACGUGCCAGCAGCCGCGGUAAUACGUAGGGACCAAGCGUUGUUCGGAAUUACUGGGCGUAAAGCGCGCGUAGGCGGUCGUAUAAGUCGGAUGUGAAAGCCCUUGGCUCAACCAAGGAACUGCGUCCGAUACUGUACGGCUUGAGGCUGGUAGGGGGUAGCGGAAUUCCCGGUGUAGCGGUGGAAUGCGUAGAUAUCGGGAGGAACACCGAUGGCGAAAGCGGCUACCUGGGCCAGAUCUGACGCUGAGGCGCGAAAGCUAGGGGAGCAAACAGGAUUAGAUACCCAAGUAGUCCUGAGCGGGCUGGCAAGGCGCAU
rnacentral:rRNA from 1 species